GGCCUCCCCGCCCGUGUCCCGGCCCGCGUCCCCGGCCGCCCGCCAGCAGCCGCCGCUUCCGUCUAGUCCUUCCUUCUGCUCCCGCCACCGCCGCGCCUCAGCGCGAGGGUCGGCCCGGGAGCUUUGUGGACGCGCUCGGCGCUCACCUAGGACUGUCACCGGCUCCUGCGGGGCCCGCGGGAGCGCUCCCGAAAGACCCCGCGGGUGGUGGUGACGGUGUCGGUAUCCCGGUCCCCACCGGCCCCGAGAACUACUCCUUCCCCGCGCCCCGCUCAGCGCGAAAGCUGCGGGAAGCUCCAAUCUAAGGCAACUGGUUGGUUUUUGGUUUUGAGCUUUUUUGUUUUUUAACUCAACUGCUUAACCCCCUAGCACUGCCCUUAUGUGAAUGAGACUGUAGACGUCUAAUUAUAAUUCUUGCUUAUUUCUCCUUUUUCAUUGUCAUUUCUGGAAUACGGCAAUUGAUUCUUUUCUGCGUGGGGGGGUGUAAACACACGUAUACAUUCAUAUAGUGCGCGCGUUUAAGUUCUGUAUUUCGACAACUGAGAGAAUAGUACCUUAUUUACGAACACAUUGGACAAAAUGAUAAAAAAUAGUAAGAUGCGGCUGCAAAUAAACACCUUUCCAAAAGAAACUGAUACAAAUUUUGUGCUACUGUGCUCACAACAUUUAUGGGUCCUGUUUUAAUUAGUCAAGCAGUCCUCAAAUAUUUAUAUCAGAUAGUUAUCUUACUACAAUACAGUUAAGAAUGGCAAAAUCUUUAUUAGAAGUGAAUGCCCAUAAUUUUGAAACUUCAAAUAUUGUAUAAAAUAACUUCCCCCUUAAUAGUUACACGAAGUUGAAGAACAAGAAUGAUUCUUUAAACACACACACACACACACACACACACACACAACAAAGUAGGUUAUGAGUUUUUUUGAUCAAAAGAAUUUAAAAUUCUUUUGGGUGGAGAGGAGGGAUAAGGAAGGAGGAAGAUGUUUUAGUCUACAGGAGGCAUAAUUUGAAACAGACUUAGGAUGAAACACUUUUAAAGGCAUAAUUUAGGUGCUUAUUUGAAAAACAAGUUCCUAAUGAAUACAGUCGACAUUUAACCUUGCACCAAUGGAUAAAAAGCACCUGAUUUCAGAACAGAACGCAAAUAGAAUAAUUUAGCAUCAGUAAAGAUUGAGUAACUACUCAGUUCUCCUUUGAAAGCAUUGAAAGGCAUGUGAACUAGCUUUCCACUUUGGUCAGCCUAUAGGAACAGUGAAGAAUUUAAAAGUCUCCCUUGAGUCUUUAUGAAACAAACACCUAUUAAUCAUGUUCAUCUUUCCUUCCCAUCUCUCUUUUCUUUCUAAACUCCCUGUUUCUCAUCAGUAGUAAAACAUCAGUUGAAAAAUGUCAAGAUAUGUAAAUGAUUUGCAUAAGGAAUAUUUUACAGGGCAGAGUUGGGUAAAAGUUAAACAGUAUUAACAACACCCAAGCUCAUUAUGUUUGUUACACAUAUACUUUAUAACCUUGCAUAACAUUGAUUGUUAAUACUCUAAAAGAAUUUGAGUUGAUAACUGUAAUCAUAAUUUGAUGUCAAAAAAGAAGGCAGUAAUGCUGAGCAUAGAUUUUUUUUAAAUACUAUUUUAAAAGAGGAAAGUAAAUACAAUUAAAUGUGAGUUUCUGAGCAUAAAAAUUAGGAAAUUCACAAGAAUUGUUUCUGUAAUAACUGUCACGUUACUGUCUUGUAUCUGUGUAAGCCCUUUCUUUUUUACAAGGCAUUUGUCCUCUUCUGCCUAUAUGUAUUUCUGUGUUAGGCCUAAGUGAUGGGUCCAUUUCCAGCUCACACCAAAACUUUCACCAUAAUGUUUUCUGAUACUAGAAAAACUGAAUUUUUCUCCUAUAGGUACAUUUAUUUCAACUCCCUUUGAAGGAGGCACAGGAUGAAGUAUUUGUUCGUAGAUCAUACAUGUGUAUCUUUAACAAGGAAGCCAUUGAAAUACAUUGAAGUAUAAUCAUUAAAAGGCAUGAUUACAUAGAUGUAGGCUCUCUUCAUUGUGGCAAUAAAAUCAGUAUAUUCUAUAUUAUUAGAAAAACUAUAUAUGAACACGUUCUGAAAGUGUGUGUGGGGGGGGGACUAUUUACAAUUUUUACUUUGAUCACUGAAAAUGGCAUUGGAGCUUUCACUAGACUUAAAAAAAUUCUACAGCCUUAAAGCCAAUAGAUUAAAUUUGCCCUGAAAGAGCCUUUUAAAAUAACAAUUAUAUGCAGCUGAAAAUUGCAAAAUAGAUGUUCAAAGAUCGUGUUAAUAACGUAUUUUUCCUCUUACACAGCAAAUAUUAAGAUAGACAAUGCUGAUAAAUUUGGGUUCCUUUUUGAGGCUCUACAAAGAAUUAGAAAGUAUCAUUUUAAAUAAUGUUUUAGAAUGUUUUAAAAAAACAUUGUAUCCUUUGUGCUGGUUAAUUAAUUUUUUUUUUUUAGAAGCCAAUUUAAUGUUGGCCUCUGUACCAUGAGUACAAUUUAAAUAUGCUGGGGCAUUUAUAGGAUCUGUGUGGUCAGCUUUUCCCAGAGGCCUCCUUGGUACAUUUGUUAGUUGCAGAAAACAGUUUCUAGUAUUUAAUUUUUAGAUUGUAUAAAUACUUUUGCUUUUGUGUAGAGAAAACUGAAGGAAAGUAUUCCUUUAGAUGAAAGAGUUCCUUGAACAUCCACAGGGAGAAAAAAAAGCCAAUAUACUUAAAUGCUCAUGCAUCCAAAGGUUUUUAUUGGCAUACAUACUGUGUUCUAAUGGGAUUCUAUUUUAUCCCUACCCAUGGAAUAUCUGCUCAUUUUCCAGAAAGAAGGAUGUUAAAAAUGCUUAAAUAUUACACAAACACAAGAAACCAUCUUCUGUCUCUACCCCUCAUAUGGAUUAUUUGAUGGUUAGUGAUGUUAAAGCCUUGAGAUAAAUAUUAAUAAAAACAAUUUAUUAUUUUAAAGUUAUUUUAGCCACAAAUGGACAUUUGGGAGGAGUGAUUAAUUAAGAUGCAAAUAGUAUAUGAAAGUGUAAGUCAAAAUUAUUUCAGUCAAGUUUAUAAAAUCUACACACAUUCUUUUAUUAAAUAUCUUAACUUGGAAAGGUGUAGAUUGGGUCUUGGAGUUUAAAUGAUCGAGUUUUUGCACAUUUAUGACAGCAGAGUUCAGUGAUUUAAAAUUUAGUCUUGUGGCACGUGUCAAAAGACCACAUCGAGCAUUCAGAGGGGACGAGAAAGAAGCUUUAGUUUUCAAAUAUUUAAUCCAGUGUCUAAGAAUUUAUAAAUGAUCAUUGCUACAAUAAUUAAUAUAGGCAAAUACAACCUUUUCCUUCCCUUACAUCAUCAUAUAGCCUGUCCUGUAUUUGAGAAUUGGAGCAUAAAACUCAAAUUCCUUUCAAUGGAGCUUGUGCCUUAGUAUGUGAGGGCAAGUGAAAUGCUAGUCACAUUAAAGAAAUUGGAACCAUAGGAAUGAAAAUCAGUGCUACAGCAUUCUCUAAAAUGCUUAUAAAAUUCAUGCUUAUGGUUUUGUACAAAUGUUUUGAAUUUUCUCCCCCCAACUGUAAUUCAAAACAUUUAGACUAGUUAGUACAAUUUCUAUUUAAUAAUUUCAUCAUUUAGUGGUAUUUUUAAAUUUUCACUUUUCAGAUAGUUGCCUCAGGAAAAUAUCAAACUUUAAAAUGUGAUAGAACAGUAAUCAAAAUUAAAUAUUUCAAAUCUAAAUUGUAAUAGGUUACAUGAUAAUACUACUAAGAAACUGAGUUUCUUAAAUAGAUUAGUAUCAGAGUAUUUCUUUUUAUAUUAAGAAAUUAUGAUUUUGUUAAACUUCGCAAAUAGGAAAGUCUAUAGUCAAGAUAUUGUUCAAAAAGGAAAAUAGUCUUGAAUUUCUCAAGUGAAAUUUGGGACUUAUCUUUGAGUGUCCUGCCUUGAUUUUGUUAGCUUCUUGAGUCAGAAUGAGAUAAUUCUAUAAUAUUAAAGGAAUGUACAUAAUAAUCAAAUGAUAAUUCUUAAUUAAAUCUUUGUAUCUUAACAGUCUAUAAGUUUCAAAGGAUUUUCUGCAUAUUGGAAAAGUCAUGUCUACUCUUCAGGGCUUCUGUUAGAAAGUUUAAUCCCUCAUUUUGAAGCCAAGCAACUAAAGUCACAUGGGAAUAUCUGACUCUCACUGACUAAAAUCAUGAAAUCUUCAGCUAGGAAGAAAUGGGGAAUGGGUUUUUAAAAGGAAAUAAAAAUUUUAAAAUGCGGUUUGGCAAGGGAUGCAGACAAAAUUUAAUUUAAAGGUAAGGAAAUAAGAAACAAGGAAGGCAAUCAUAGUUCACAGUGUAUUUCAUGAGAAAAGAGCAGGUUGAAUUAUGUGUCUUAGAAUUUCUGUACACAGACAGAUAAAAGCUAUUUACUUUUAAAUUCAGUAAGUGAUUGAAAUGAUGACAAAGUAUCUUUUUGUGUGGGUUAUAAUAAGCAAGUUUACUCCCUGUCACAUAAUUUAUAUUUACUUCACCAGUGAAGUGAUAUGAAAAUUAGAAGCUGGCCAAUCAUCCAAUAAGCUCUGUCAAAUAGUUUAGAUAAUAAACAGUUUCCCCCUCAGCAGCAGGUUGGUUUUAUUCCCAACUUCAGUUACAAAGAUCACCACUUCAGUUUCCUACUUCAUUGAUCUGGUAUCAGCCAGAAUGACCCAUGAGUUAGCUAGAGUUGAAUGAAAGUGAAGCCUGGGCAUAUUGAAACAAGUUUACUUUGAUGAAUAUGUCUGAUUAAUUCUUCCGUAUACAUAUAGACUGUCCUUUAAAUUGUUAGUAUACUUUUAAAGAGAGAGGGAGAGAGAGACUGAAUAUUUCUUAAAAGAAGGAAGGGAAGAAGAAAGGAAAAAAGGGAGGGAGGGAGGAAAUUUUUUUCCCUUGAAGAGAAGAAAUGGCACAGAAAACUUAUUUACUCUUUUUUUCUCUGACACAGUACAUUAUAGCAAGAUUCUCUUAGUUCCACUGAAUUCAACUAAGUCUCACAGUCAUGUUCAAAAUGGAACAAGAGAUCUGUCAUGUCCAGAACCUAACCAGUUUUAAGAUGGCUUAUACUUACUCUAGAACAACAGAAAAUAUCUAACAGAUUCCCUUCCUUUCUGGUCCUGGUUUUGGAAUCUCUAUUCUAACACUGUAUUUUCUCAGACCUCAGAAACUGCAGUUUUGACCAGAUCAAUGAAUUCCAACAACAACAGAAAAGGAACAAAUGGACUUACUCAAAGGAAUAUUACUGUGUAAAGCCAGUGCUUUUUAAAAUGUUCUAUAAAUUAUAGACCAAGAAAUGAGGAGAAAUUUGGCAAAGAAUAAUAAUGUCGAUGGAAAUACAUGGGCAAAUGAGGCCUAAGGAAACUCUGAAUUUUCAUAUGCUUUUCUUAAAAUCUGAAGGUGAUAGAAGAUUUUUAAUGAGGACCAACUACAAUAUAUAGCCAAAGAUGGAGAAGCUCUAUACAGUCAGCAAAAACAAGAAGACCGGGAGCUGACUGU